AUGCGCAGUUCAUCUCAUACAUCACUCAUUCAUUCGUUCAUGGCGGUCGUCCUCGGCAAUUAUACCUUCGAAGCAUGCAUUUUGGGGUGGAUCGAGUUAUUAGAGGGAAGUAGACGUUCUCGCGACGGUAGUGGAGUAGUGAUACACAUCUCGGAAAGGGACUUGACGCAUCCCAGUAACUUGGGGUCGAUGGUAGUUGUUCACGGUCAUAGUCGCACGAGUUCCCGUGGAUGGCCGGGGUCGUCACCGUAUGUAGUCGAUGUAGUUGAACUUGACGAAACCCUCAGCGAUAGUAGUGGUGCAUGUCAUAGUGGAACUCGGCGCAUCCAACGUCUUCAGGCGUAG
rnacentral:rRNA from 1 species